GAUGAACGCUGACAGAAUGCUUAACACAUGCAAGUCGAUGGGGAAGUGGUGCUUGCACCAUGGCAACCAUGGCGGACGGGUGAGUAACGCGUAAGGGACUUACCUGCGGGACUGGGAUAACAGGGGGAAACUCCUGACAAGACCGGAUAAUGUCAUGGAGCUGCAUGGCUUUAUGAUGAAAGGAGACGCCUGCGGAGAGCCUUGCGUCCUAUUAGCUAGUUGGUGAGGUAAUGGCUCACCAAGGCGAAGAUAGGUAGCCGGCCUGAGAGGGUGGACGGCCACAAGGGGACUGAGAUACGGCCCUUACUCCUACGGGAGGCAGCAGUGGGGAAUAUUGGACAAUGGGGGCAACCCUGAUCCAGCAAUUCUGUGUGCACGAAGAAGGUUUUCGGAUUGUAAAGUGCUUUCAGCAGGGAAGAAGUAAGUGACGGUACCUGCAGAAGAAGCGACGGCUAAAUACGUG
rnacentral:rRNA from 1 species